CUUAACACAUGCAAGUCGAGCGGGGUGAUGGUGCUUGCACUAUCACUUAGCGGCGGACGGGUGAGUAAUGCUUAGGAAUCUGCCUAUUAGUGGGGGACAACAUUUCGAAAGGAAUGCUAAUACCGCAUACGUCCUACGGGAGAAAGCAGGGGAUCUUCGGACCUUGCGCUAUUAGAUGAGCCUAAGUCGGAUUAGCUAGUUGGUGGGGUAA
rnacentral:rRNA from 1 species